CCUACGGGAGGCAGCAGUGGGGAAUAUUGGACAAUGGGCGCAAGCCUGAUCCAGCCAUACCGCGUGGGUGAAGAAGGCCUUCGGGUUGUAAAGCCCUUUUGUUGGGAAAGAAAAGCAGUCGGCUAAUACCCGGUUGUUCUGACGGUACCCAAAGAAUAAGCACCGGCUAACUUCGUGCCAGCAGCCGCGGUAAUACGAAGGGUGCAAGCGUUACUCGGAAUUACUGGGCGUAAAGCGUGCGUAGGUGGUUGUUUAAGUCUGUUGUGAAAGCCCUGGGCUCAACCUGGGAAUUGCAGUGGAUACUGGGCGACUAGAGUGUGGUAGAGGGUAGUGGAAUUCCCGGUGUAGCAGUGAAAUGCGUAGAGAUCGGGAGGAACAUCCAUGGCGAAGGCAGCUACCUGGACCAACACUGACAUUGAGGCACGAAAGCGUGGGGAGCAAACAGGAUUAGAUACCCUGGUAGUCCACGCCCUAAACGAUGCGAACUGGAUGUUGGGUGCAAUUUGGCACGCAGUAUCGAAGCUAACGCGUUAAGUUCGCCGCCUGGGGAGUACGGUCGCAAGACUGAAACUCAAAGGAAUUGACGG
rnacentral:rRNA from 1 species